GGGUGGAAGGAACAGUUGUGCCCUCUCCCUUAGAUGCUUGUGCUGAGAGCUGGGUACUUCAGGAAUGAGGCCUCUCUAUAGAGAUUUGGGGAGAGUUGGACACAUUUACCUGCUGGAGGUCAGCAACACUGAACUUGUGGGGAGAUUCCAAGAGAUAAUUCCUGUGGUUGAGCCUGCAAAGAAAACACAAGAGCUUCCUCAGAAGGGCUUUGGAGGCUGGGCCACCCUGCAUUGUCUGUUUUCCUUCCCUCAGCACUGCUAACCAACCAUAACCCUUCUGCCUCGCCAGGCAGGGCUAAGAGCACAAGUCAGCUGGACCAGACUUGCCCUGGCCUCCCAGGUAAACUAACCAGCUGGUGGGUCCUUGGGCAAGUUGCUUAAUCUCUGAACCUCAGGUAUCUUCCUCUAA